UGAGUAACACGUAUCCAACCUGCCGUCUACUCUUGGCCAGCCUUCUGAAAGGAAGAUUAAUCCAGGAUGGCAUCAUGAGUUCACAUGUCCGCAUGAUUAAAGGUAUUUCCGGUAGACGAUGGGGAUGCGUUCCAUUAGAUAGUAGGCGGGGUAACGGCCCACCUAGUCAACGAUGGAUAGGGGUUCUGAGAGGAAGGUCCCCCACAUUGGAACUGAGACACGGUCCAA
rnacentral:rRNA from 1 species